rnacentral:rRNA from 1 species
ACGGGGUGCAGCAGGCGCGAAAACUUUGCAAUGUGCGAAAGCACGACAAGGUUAAUCCGAGUGGUUUCUGCUAAAGGAACCUUUUGUUAGUCAUAGAACCACUAAUGAAUAAGGGGUGGGCAAGUUCUGGUGUCAGCCGCCGCGGUAAAACCAGCACCUCAAGUGGUCAGGAUGAUUAUUGGGCCUAAAGCAUCCGUAGCCGGCUCUGUAAGUUUUCGGUUAAAUCUGUACGCUUAACGUACAGGCUGCUGGGAAUACUGCAGAGCUAGGGAGUGGGAGAGGUAGACGGUACUCGGGAGGAAGUGGUAAAAUGCUUUGAUCUCUCGAUGACCACCUGUGGCGAAGGCGGUCUACCAGAACACGUCCGACGGUGAGGGAUGAAAGCUGGGGGAGCAAACCGGAUUAGAUACCCGGGUAGUCCCAGCUGUAAACUAUGCAAACUCAGUGAUGCACUGGCUUAUGGCCAGUGCAGUGUUGCAGGGAAGCCGUUAAGUUUGCCGCCUGGAA